UAAGACCCCAAACCCAAACACUUAUAACAAGCCAUGUGUGACUAUUAGAGUCACAAGAACAACACUAUAACUAUGUACAUUGUAACCACAUGAGAAAAUUUAAACAUUUACAUUUAACCACACUUACAUCUCUAAAAUCUCUUUUUAAUCCUUUCUUUCUCUCUCACCCACCCAAUUUUACACGAGACAAAAUCUUAUUUCGUGUCCUACAGCUUAACAAUUUUAUAUCAAGUACCUCUCCUCCUACAUAUGAAAGUUUCAUGUCUG
rnacentral:lncRNA from 1 species